ensembl:lncRNA
CGGGAGGAGACCCCGGGGAAGACCUAGGACACGCUGGAGGGACUAUGUCUCCCGGCUGGCCUGGGAACGCCUCGGUGUCCCCCCGGAAGAGCUGGAGGAAGUGUCUGGGGAGAAGGAAGUCUGGGCAUCCCUGCUUAGACUGCUGCCCCCGCGACCCGGCCCCGGAUAAGCGGAAGAAGAUGGUAUGGUGUGGAGAGCUCAGAUCCAGGCCAGGUGGUUUAUGUGGACUCUGGUCUGGACGGUGUUGUGGGUAAAGCAGUGAUCCUGGACUGUGGAUCCACCAAACCUGAUAUUUACAUCUGGAGCUUCACCCAACCUGGAACAGAUAAACUCAAAGCUGUGGUCUACGACUUUGGAAAAACUGAAAAGGAACCAGGUCCAAAGCUGCAGAAACUAGACCCAAGUCUAGGAGAUAUUCAAGUCAUCUCUGGCUCCGCCUCUCUGAGUAUAGAGCACCUCCUACUGGCAGCAGAAGGCCUCUAUACCUGCCAGGCCUUCUAUUACACGGAUCAAGGACCCGACUUCAUCUUCUACUUCAUACACCUACGAGUACUGGGAGGACAUGAGGUCCUGGCCCACACCUGAGGAGUACCAGGCUUUAAAGACCCGUUGCUGUCCCUGCCCAAAGUCCUCCUGGUUGUGUUGCAGAUCAAGACGAUACCUGACGAUUUCAGCUGCCACUGUGCUGAU